UACAGAGGUCUCAAGCGUUGUUCGGAUUCAUUGGGCGUAAAGGGUGCGUAGGUGGCGCCGUAAGUCGGGUGUGAAAUUUCGAGGCUUAACCUCGAAACUGCAUUCGAUACUGCGGUGCUUGAGGACUGGAGAGGAGACUGGAAUUCAUGGUGUAGCAGUGAAAUGCGUAGAGAUCAUGAGGAAGACCAGUGGCGAAGGCGAGUCUCUGGACAUUUCCUGACGCUGAGGCACGAAAGCCAGGGGAGCAAACGGG
rnacentral:rRNA from 1 species